rnacentral:rRNA from 1 species
GCAAGUCGAGCGGAAACGAUGUAGCUUGCUACAGGCGUCGAGCGGCGGACGGGUGAGUAACGCGUAGGAAUCUGCCUAGUAGUGGGGGACAACAUGUGGAAACGCAUGCUAAUACCGCAUAAUCCCUACGGGGGAAAGGAGGGGAUUCACUUUCUUAGAGGGUGGACCUUUCGCUAUUAGAUGAGCCUGCGUGAGAUUAGCUAGUUGGUAGGGUAAAGGCCUACCAAGGCGACGAUCUCUAGCUGGUCUGAGAGGAUGACC